CGGUAAUUCCAGCUCCAAUAGCGUAUACUAAUGCUGUUGCUGUUAAAAAGCUCGUAGUUCGACAAGGAUUGGAUCUGGUUCUGAUUCAGCGACUCGUAACUCUGUUGCAGUCGUUCGAUGAAGGCCGUUUGGAUCCGAUUCUGCAAUGAGGGACUUGUAUGGAUGAAGAGCUCUUCAUUGAGCUUGGAUUCGCUUCCGCAGUCAACAUCUGCAUGCGUACAGUCCUUCGCGAUACCGUGAACAAAACAGCGUGCUCAAAGCAAGUGAUUCUGCUCGAAUGUUCAAGCAUGGAAUAUCAAGGAAGCGACCGUGAGUCUAAUCUUUGCUGGUUUCUGUAUGUUCCUUGGGGAAUUGAGCCUGAGAAUAGCGUUCUGUCCUGCAAGUUACUUUCGAGUGCUUCGGGCCAAGUACGAUGCUCUAGUUUACCGGUAUUAACGGGGAUGAACGGAGCAGUGUGUAUUGGUUGCGUUAGAGGUGAAAUUCUUAGAUCGCACCAAGACAGACAUAAGCGAAGGCAUUCUGCAAGUAUAUCUUCAUUAAUCAAGAACGAGAGUGCAGGGAUCGAAGAUGAUCAGAUACCGUCGUAGUCUGCUACUGUAAACUAUGCGAACUCGGGAUCAGCUGUCGCCAAUCAUUUUGAUUACCAGGCUGGAACCUACUGUUCUCUCUUAGCGCGAAAGCUUUAAGUUUAUGCGUUCAGGGGGGAGUACAGUUGCAAGGCUGAAACUUAAAGGAAUUGACGGAAUGACACCACAAGGCGUGGAUGCUGCGGAAUAAUUUGACUCAACACUGGGAAAUCUUACCAGGUCAGGACGCACGUGGAUGACAGAUGAA
rnacentral:rRNA from 1 species